ACAUUGGCUUGCUUUACCGACCAGCACGCUAAUCGUUCGAUCUCCUUUAAUGCCUGUGCUGUUCCGAUAGGGGCUAUUAUGGAGGCAAAAAUACGCGCCAUAGCGCCCCAUAACCGGACCUUGUCCCCACAGUCCUCGGUCAGGUGCUGUAUUGAUAUUUUGUGCCUACCCCCCACAUUCGAAUUCGAUAUUUUUAACCACUCUGAGAGAUUCGGGGACAAGAUGGUACAGUAGAUGGCACAGAUAUGUAUCUACUUCUUUUGGAGUCUGGGCUGGAACUUGUGCUGGACACCAUGUGGAACUUGUGCUGGACACCAUCUGAGGAACUUGGAUGUCUUUACGAAGGACAUAACAGAGCAAUAUAGUAGAUGUGUUUCAUGAUGGACAAACAAUAAAAGCCAUGUUUCUGGGAA